rnacentral:rRNA from 1 species
AUGUGGCGCAGCCGCGUGUCGCGGGGCCUCCGGGAGGCCAAGGCCGCCGCCGCCGCCGCGUCCAGGCGCUUCUCCACCACCUCGUCCUACACGGUGGUGGAUCACACCUACGAUGCGGUCGUGGUUGGAGCUGGAGGCGCGGGGCUCAGGGCCGCGAUUGGGCUCUCGGAGCAUGGGUUCAACACCGCCUGCAUCACCAAGCUCUUCCCCACGCGGUCGCACACUGUGGCAGCACAGGGAGGUAUAAACGCUGCUCUUGGAAACAUGAGCGAAGAUGACUGGAGGUGGCAUAUGUAUGAUACAGUCAAAGGAAGUGAUUGGCUCGGUGACCAAGAUGCUAUCCAGUAUAUGUGUAGAGAAGCACCAAAGGCUGUUAUAGAGCUUGAGAACUAUGGAUUACCAUUUUCCAGAACUGAAGAUGGAAAAAUUUAUCAACGUGCUUUUGGAGGCCAAAGCUUAGAUUUUGGAAAAGGUGGUCAGGCCUAUCGAUGCGCAUGCGCUGCUGACAGAACAGGGCAUGCUAUGCUACACACACUUUAUGGUCAAGCGAUGAAGCACAAUACUCAGUUUUUUGUUGAAUAUUUUGCGCUGGACCUUAUCAUGGACAAAGAAGGCACCUGCCAGGGGGUUAUUGCACUAAACAUGGAGGAUGGUACCCUUCAUCGUUUCCGUUCAACAAAUACUAUUUUAGCAACAGGAGGUUAUGGCAGAGCUUACUUCUCUGCUACUUCAGCUCACACAUGUACUGGUGAUGGCAAUGCUAUGGUUGCACGUGCUGGGUUACCCCUUCAGGAUCUUGAGUUUGUGCAGUUCCAUCCUACAGGCAUUUACGGUGCUGGAUGCCUUAUAACUGAAGGCUCCCGGGGCGAAGGUGGUAUUCUUAGGAACAGCGAAGGUGAGAGGUUCAUGGAACGAUAUGCCCCUACCGCCAAAGAUCUUGCAUCUCGUGAUGUUGUUUCAAGAUCUAUGACUAUGGAAAUUAGAGAAGGACGUGGUGUAGGACCAAUGAAGGACCAUCUCUACCUGCACCUUAAUCAUCUUCCUCCAGAAGUUCUAAAGGAAAGGCUUCCUGGUAUAUCUGAGACUGCUGCUAUUUUUGCUGGCGUUGAUGUCACCAAAGAGCCUAUUCCUGUUUUACCAACUGUGCACUAUAAUAUGGGCGGUAUCCCGACAAAUUAUCAUGGGCAGGUGGUGGAUAUCAAGGGUGAUAACCCAGACACAGUUAUUCCUGGUCUGAUGGCUGCUGGGGAGGCAGCUUGUGCAUCUGUUCAUGGUGCAAACCGUCUUGGUGCAAAUUCACUUCUUGACAUUGUUGUCUUUGGGAGGGCUUGCGCAAACAGGGUUGCUGAGAUUUCCAAGCCAGGAGAGACACAGAAACCUCUUGAAAAAGACGCAGGGGAGAAGACCAUCGCUUGGUUGGACAAGCUGAGAAAUGCAAAUGGAUCACUGCCUACUUCGAAGAUUCGCCUCAACAUGCAACGUAUUAUGCAAAAUAAUGCUGCAGUUUUCCGUACACAGGAAACUCUAACAGAAGGUUGCGAGCUGAUUAGUGAAGCGCAGAAAAGUUUCCAUGAUGUCAAGCUCAGUGACAGAAGUCUCAUAUGGAAUUCGGACUUGAUAGAGACCAUAGAAUUAGAAAACCUGCUAAUAAAUGCAUGCAUAACCAUGCAUUCAGCCGAGGCUCGCCAAGAGAGCAGAGGAGCUCAUGCUCGCGAAGAUUUCAAGACAAGAGAUGACGACAAGUGGAUGAAGCACUCGCUAGGGUACUGGGAGGACGAAAAGGUUAGACUAGAAUACAGGCCAGUUCACAUGAACACCUUGGAUGAUGAAGUCGAGACUUUCCCGCCGAAGGCACGUGUUUACUAA